GGUGGCUCAGUGGUAGAGUACUUGCCUUGCAUGCAUGAAGCCCUGGGUUUGAUUCCUCAGCACCG
rnacentral:tRNA from 1 species